AGUCGAGGGGCAGCAUUUCAGUUUGCUUGCAAACUGGAGAUGGCGACCGGCGCACGGGCUGAGUAACACGCUAUCCAACCUGCCGAUAACUCGGGGAUAGCCUUUCGAAAGAAAGAUUAAUACCCGAUGGNAUAAUCAGACCGCAUGGUCUUNUUAUUAAAGAAUUUCGGUUAUCGAUGGGGAUGCGUUCCAUUAGGCAGUUGGUGAGGUAACGGCUCACCAAACCUUCGAUGGAUAGGGGUUCUGAGAGGAAGGUCCCCCACAUUGGAACUGAGACACGGUCCAAACUCNUACGGGAGGCAGCAGUGAGGAAUAUUGGUCAAUGGGCGCAGGCCUGAACCAGCCAAGUAGCGUGAAGGAUGACUGCCCUAUGGGUUGUAAACUUCUUUUAUAUGGGAAUAAAGUUUUCCACGUGUGGAAUUUUGUAUGUACCAUAUGAAUAAGGAUCGGCUAACUCCGUGCCAGCAGCCGCGGUAAUACGGAGGAUCCGAGCGUUAUCCGGAUUUAUUGGGUUUAAAGGGAGCGUAGGUGGACAGUUAAGUCAGUUGUGAAAGUUUGCGGCUCAACCGUAAAAUUGCAGUUGAUACUGGCUGUCUUGAGUACAGUAGAGGUGGGCGGAAUUCGUGGUGUAGCGGUGAAAUGCUUAGAUAUCACGAAGAACUCCGAUUGCGAAGGCAGCUCACUGGACUGCAACUGACACUGAUGCUCGAAAGUGUGGGUAUCAAACAGGAUUAGAUACCCUGGUAGUCCACACAGUAAACGAUGAAUACUCGCUGUUUGCGAUAUACAGUAAGCGGCCAAGCGAAAGCAUUAAGUAUUCCACCUGGGGAGUACGCCGGCAACGGUGAAACUCAAAGGAAUUGACGGGGGCCCGCACAAGCGGAGGAACAUGUGGUUUAAUUCGAUGAUACGCGAGGAACCUUACCCGGGCUUAAAUUGCAUUUGAAUAUUUUGGAAACAGUNUAGCCGNAAGGCAAAUGUGAAGGUGCUGCAUGGUUGUCGUCAGCUCGUGCCCUGAGGUGUCGGCUUAAGUGCCAUAACGAGCGCAACCCUUAUCUUUAGUUACUAACAGGUCAUGCUGAGGACUCUAGAGAGACUGCCGUCGUAAGAUGUGAGGAAGGUGGGGAUGACGUCAAAUCAGCACGGCCCUUACGUCCGGGGCUACACACGUGUUACAAUGGGGGGUACAGAAGGCAGCUACCUGGUGACAGGAUGCUAAUCCCAAAAGCCUCUCUCAGUUCGGAUCGAAGUCUGCAACCCGACUUCGUGAAGCUGGAUUCGCUAGUAAUCGCGCAUCAGCCAUGGCGCGGUGAAUACGUUCCCGGGCCUUGUACACANCGCCCGUCAAGCCAUGAAAGCCGGGGGUACCUGAAGUACGUAACCGCAAGGAGCUCCUAGG
rnacentral:rRNA from 1 species